AACUUUUACGAGGUAUCAGCACUUUUCCUUCAUUAGUGGGAAGGAAGGAUGAAAAAUACAAAACAGAAGUAGACUUUUAAAGUUUAAAUAGACAGGUCUGAGUGCCUGAACGUGCUCUUCCAUUUUACUUUAACCCUCCAAAGAAGUUUUCUUAUCCUGUUUCACUGCUGAUCAGCAAGGGUAAGUUGCAAG
rnacentral:other from 1 species